CCUACGGGAGGCAGCAGUAAGGAAUAUUGGUCAAUGGACGCAAGUCUGAACCAGCCAUGCCGCGUGAAGGAUUAAGGCCCUCUGGGUUGUAAACUUCUUUUAUAGGGGACGAAAAAAGGGCAUUCUUGCUCACUUGACGGUACCCUAGGAAUAAGCACCGGCUAACUCCGUGCCAGCAGCCGCGGUAAUACGGAGGGUGCAAGCGUUAUCCGGAUUUACUGGGUUUAAAGGGUGCGUAGGUGGGUUGGUAAGUCAGUGGUGAAAUCUUCGAGCUUAACUCGGAAACUGCCAUUGAUACUAUCAAUCUUGAAUCAUCUAGAGGUAAGCGGAAUAUGUCAUGUAGCGGUGAAAUGCUUAGAUAUGACAUAGAACACCAAUUGNGAG
rnacentral:rRNA from 1 species